CUGCCCGCUGUCAUAAUCAACCCUGUGAAUCUAUAUCUUCAAACUAUUCAACUACUGUCAUAAUCAGCCCUGUGAAUCUUAAUCCAGCAUUGACACAUGAUGCUGUUUUGAUAAAGUUAUCGAAGUGCGCCUUUUUUGGUCACGAUAACCACAUGAUAGUCACCAGGACUUCUAUGUGUCGAUUUAAAAAAAAAAAAAAUCUCUAUCAUGCACAUAGAUCCGAAAAGUAGCAAAGAUCCGCAUGAUUUUAAAUCAAAAAACAUGUAAGUUAACUGAUACGUUAAUUUAUACCAUUAUGAAUCAUGUGUUUUCAAGCUGUUUUGUCUCGGUUUUUUGGUGUUUCGAAGUUUAUGUUGUUCGACUGUCCCUCACACUAUUUCUUGAUCUGAUGUCAGAUUAGUAAAAUCAGAUCGGUACCAGUUACGUGUUCAUAGCAUUUCAAAAAUCGGUUUCGUGGGUUUGUCCAGAGGCCACUGUAAACUACCCUUUCCAAGGUAAGUUUAUAAAACGUUUUCUUAUGUAACUGUUUUGAUGCCAAUAAAUUUUUAAUGCUCAACUUUCCAAUUUUUGCUAUAUCAAGUAACGCUUCAGUAGUGUGUAAAUCUGACAUCUUGUUCCAUUCUUACUGAAUAAUUUUUGGAGAUGAUGGUGAUCUUGACGGAAGUUGCAGAUCUGAUCACUAGAUCUUGACAUGCUUAUUCCUUAAAUAUAUAUCAAUAAAUUUGGUCCCUGUAGUAGACUGCUUGUUUUAGUUUUGGUCCAAGGUUAAAAUGGUCAUUCAAAAAAAAUCCGGUUAUGCUGUGUUUUCAUUUCUGAUUGUUACAUUUAUCCUCCUUGCAGUGUGAAAGGGAAUAUCAUAUAGGGUGUUUGAGGGCACAUAAGAAGAUGGAUCUGAAGGUUUGUUAAUUUGAAUCUCAAUUUGCUCAAAUUUCCAACGUUUUUCACUUGAUUUAAUAUGAGAUUGUUGAUCUGAAGGUGUGCUUUCAUUUCGAAGGAAUCAGAACCGGAAUCACCAAUUCCGAUGUGAAGUGGAUUGUUUUCCUUGGGAAAGACAUUUCUAAUGACAAUAAUAGCAUUCCAAAGAACAUCUUUGUUAGAAAAAAGAGGAAGUGGUGCUUCAUGGUGGAGUUACUUUUCAAGAUGGUUUUGUUUCAAGGUGGAGUUACUUGAAAGAUGGUUUUGUUUUAGUCUUUUGAUUGAUUUGUAAAGUAAGCAAUGAAUGAAUAAUAAAUGCCAAAAAUUGAUAUCAAUGGUGGCAUUUCAAAGAACAUCUUUGUUAGAAAAGGAGGUGGUGGGCCUCAAGGUGGAGAUAUUUUUCAUGAUGUUUUGGUUUUAGUCUUUUGAUUAUGUAUUAAAGUAAGCAAUUAAUGAAUCAAUAAUGAAUACCAUUUUCGAGGAUUUAUAUUUGUUGGUUUUGAAAACAUAGAUUUGAUGUACUAUGUUUUAAGAUUUUUUUUUUCAUUGUGUAAUUGUAUUUAGUUUUUUCAUGAGUUUGUUAUUUUUUAUAAUGC
rnacentral:lncRNA from 1 species